rnacentral:rRNA from 1 species
GACGAACGCUGGCGGCGUGCCUAAUACAUGCAAGUCGAGCGAAGCGGGGACGGGUGAGUAACACGUAAGGAACCUCCGAUAUGCGGGGGACAACAUCCGGAAACGGGUGCUAAACCCCAUACUUAUCGAUGGCCUUGCGGUGCAUUAGGUCGUUGGUGGGGUAACGGCCUACCAAGGCAAGGAUGCAUAGCAGACCUGAGAGGGUAAUCGGCCACAUUGGAACUGAGAAACGGCCCAAACUCCUACGGGAGGCAGCAGUAGGGAAUCUGCCGCAAUGGGCGCAAGCCUGACGGAGCAACGCCGCGGGAGUGAAGAAGGUUUUCGGAUCGUAAAGUUCUGUUGUAAGAGAAGCGGUAUCUUACCAGAAAGCCACGGCUAACUACGUGCCAGCAGCCGCGGUAAUUC